GUGCAAUGCCAGGACCUAAGGAAUAACUGGAAAUGGCCAUCAUUAGUCAAGUGAGAGGCCUAGAAAAGGGCAUGUCAAGGAUUCAGCCAAGCUAUUUCAAGACCAAGCAAGAACAGGUUAAGAGAGAUGAAGUUGCCUGGUGGCUGCGGCCAGGGCAGGUGGGGAAGAGGGCAGAGGGUAGGGAGAUGGGGAGGGCCUCCCAUCUGUGUAUUUUUAUUCUCCAGGGCACCAAUAAAAGUCCUCCCUUGACCUCUGUGCUGCUAAUUAUCAAGGCACUGGUUGGCCCACUCAGAGAGAGAAAUUUGCUUUGGGCCAAGUUUUCUUUCAGCAGAGCCCAGAGAAGGGCUGGAGGCCUGACCAGUGGGGCCGAAGCCAAAAUUGCUAUAUCCGGAAGAUCUACCAUCAGACCCAGAACAGCCUCAUCCCUGAGUCACACUUUCCUGCCACCUCGGUGUACCUCCCAGCACUCAUGUAUUCUGCACAGGGCUGUUUUUUCAUCUUAAACCAGCGGACAACCUUCUUCGAAGCAGGCACUAUUCUCUCUACUUAAAAGAAAUUCAAGGCUCAGAGUGAGAACACUGGUACAGAAGAAACGCUUGCCCCUCGGUCUAAUCCCAGAGCCUGAAGGAACUCUUUCCAAGAAUCCACAUUUGUGUAUUUCAUGGACGUUUCUGGAGGGAAGCCCCUCCUGAAGAAGGAGACAAACUUCACCCCCCAGAACAGCAGGUACAAAACUAAAACUCUAAAAAAAAGGGUGAGACACAAAUCUCAAACUCCACUCUCAGCCCCUUCCUUCCCUGAGCCUUUAACCAGAAUGGCUGCAGAAUGAGAACCCACAGCCAGGAGAAGAUUCCAGGAGGCCAGCCUGAAACCCACACCUCCCAGGCCAAGCUCUGCCCUAAGCCUUGCUUGGAAGUCACACGUAAGGGAAAUGCCUUGCACGCGUAAACUGCUCCGAAUUCACCAACCCUUUCCUUCUCUUCCCUGGAAUACAAAAUGUCCUCCAGAAAACAUCUGACCUCCAGCUUUGGUUUAUUAUCAAGAGGGAUACAUGGCUUCAUAUGCACCAUGCCAGAC
ensembl:lncRNA